rnacentral:piRNA from 1 species
UGUAGUUAAAAUUCAGUGUAG